AUUGAACGCUGGCGGCAGGCCUAACACAUGCAAGUCGAACGAGUGGCGGACGGGUGAGUAAUGUCUGGGAAACUGCCUGAUGGAGGGGGAUAACUACUGGAAACGGUAGCUAAUACCGCAUACCUUCGGAUGGGCCCAGAGGGGAUUAGCUUGUGGGUGGGGUAAAGGCUCACCCAGGCCACGAUCCCUAGCUGGUCUGAGAGGGUGACCAGCAAAACGGGAACGGAGAGACGGUCCAGACGCCUACGGGAGGAAGCAGGGGGGAAUAUGGCACAAUGGGCGCAAGCGUGAUGCAGCCAUGCCGCGUGUAUGAAGAAGGCCUUCGGGUUGUAAAGUACUUUCAGCGGGGAGGCGUUACCCGCAGAAGAAGCACCGGCUAACUCCGUGCCAGCAGCCGCGGUAAUAC
rnacentral:rRNA from 1 species